rnacentral:tRNA from 1 species
GCCCUGGUGGUACAAUGGUUAAGCUCUCAGCUGCUAACUGAAAGGUUGGUAGUUCAAAUCCACCCAGUGGCU